AGAAUCAACGCUGGCGGCGUGCCUAACACAUGCAAGUCGAACGAGAAAGUGGAGCAAUCCAUGAGUAAAGUGGCGCACGGGUGAGUAACACGUGACUAACCUACCCUUGAGUGGGGAAUAACUUCGGGAAACCGAGGCUAAUACCGCAUAACACCUACGGGUCAAAGGAGCAAUUCGCUUAAGGAGGGGGUCGCGGCAGAUUAGUUAGUUGGCGGGGUAAUGGCCCACCAAGACAGUGAUCUGUAUCCGGCCUGAGAGGGCGCACGGACACACUGGAACUGAAACACGGUCCAGACUCCUACGGGAGGCAGCAGUGGGGAAUUUUGCGCAAUGGGGGAAACCCUGACGCAGCAACGCCGCGUGGAGGAUGAAGUCUCUUGGGACGUAAACUCCUUUCGAUCGGGACGAUAAUGACGGUACCGAGAGAAGAAGCCCCGGCUAACUUCGUGCCAGCAGCCGC
rnacentral:rRNA from 1 species